UAGGGAAUCUUCCACAAUGGACGAAAGUCUGAUGGAGCAACGCCGCGUGAGUGAAGAAGGGUUUCGGCUCGUACAACUCUGUUGUUAAAGAAGAACAUAUCUGAGAGUAACUGUUCAGGUAUUGACGGUAUUUAACCAGAAAGCCAUGGCUAACUACGUGCCAG
rnacentral:rRNA from 1 species